rnacentral:rRNA from 1 species
UACGUAGGGGGCGAGCGUUGUCCGGAGUUACUGGGCGUAAAGGGCGCGCAGGCGGUCUGCUAAGUUCGGAGUGACAGUCACCAGCUUAACUGGUGAAGGACUUUGAAAACUGGCGGACUUGAGAGCGAGAGAGGGACACGGAAUUCCGGGUGGAGCAGUGAAAUGCGUAGAGAUCCGGAGGAACACCAAGGCGAAGGCAGUGUCCUGGCUCGUUUCUGACGCUGAGGCGCGAAAGCCAGGGGAGC